rnacentral:piRNA from 1 species
UAAAUGCAAGUUUAACUGUUG